GGGCGUUUGGCGCAGCGGGAGCGCGAUUCCUUCACACGGAAUAGGUCACUGGUUCAAUCCCAGUAACGCCCACCA
rnacentral:tRNA from 1 species